rnacentral:rRNA from 1 species
GUGAGGAAUUUUCCGCAAUGGGCGAAAGCCUGACGGAGCGACGCCGUGUGUGUGAUGAAGGUUUUCGGAUCUUAAAGCACUGUCAGCGAGGAAGAUAUUGACGGUACUCGCAGAGGAAGCCCCGGCUAACUACGUGCCAGCAGCCGCGGUAAUACGUAGGGGGCAAACGUUGUCCGGAAUUAUUGGGCGUAAAGCGCAUGUAGGCGGUCCUGUAAGUCAGGUGUUAAAUCCCCGGGCUCAACCCGGGUUCGCACUUGAUACUGCAGGGCUCGAGAGAUGUAGAGGAAAGCGGAACUUCAGGUGUAGCGGUGAAAUGCGUAGAUAUCUGAAGGAACACCAGUGGCGAAGGCGGCUUUCUGGACAUUUUCUGACGCUGAGAUGCGAGAGCAAGGGGAGCAAACGGGAUUAGAAACCCCGGUAGUCC